UCUUGCUGUUUCAGAAGUUUGUUUUUCGAACGGAUUUGAAUUCCAGUAGGUUUUUCGCCACCGCCUCCAUUAAAUUGAGUUAAGUGAAAAUUGAAUCGGGAGCGCAAAAAUCAACCUGACAGGCAACACAAAGGCACGGAUGUUGCGAAAAUGAAGGUUGGCAAUGAUUCUCAUAUUAAUGGCACUGAUGAUGAUGAUGAUGAUGCUGCUGAUGAUGAUGACGAUGAUGACGAGGUGGCGGCCGGGUCUGAAUUCAAACUGUUCAACAUUUCCGUUUAAUACGGCUUCACUUCCGUACAAAUUUAAUUAAAAACUGAAAUUUUUCUUAUUGCGUGCGCUGGUUAUACAACUGCCCACUCCAGCAGGCUUACACAUAUGUACAUAUGUAUGUACCACAUAUGUGCAAUCAGAAAAUAAUGAAUAAUUUAAAAUGUCUGCACUCU
ensembl:ncRNA lncRNA:CR44824 long non-coding RNA:CR44824